rnacentral:lncRNA from 1 species
AACCACCACCAUGGGUGGUGUCUCUACGAUAGUAACAGCUUCACAUGUUUCUUUCUUGUGGAGCUUUGACCCUGGCUUUUCAACUUCUCUGACAAUGUGGGUCAUCCCUGCUUUGUAACCCAGAAAAGCAGUCAAUCUGCAAGGUUUUGUUGGAUCAUCUUUGGGGAAUGCCUUCACUGUAAACAUCACAGAAAAGCGUAAAAAAAAUCAACAAUUGCACAACACUAACCAAUAUGCAAAUUGCAAAAAUAGUCAAUAUAAACAACUCACAAGUGAGUAAUAAAUCAACAUUAACAAAUACUGACAUAAAUUUAAUUGCAAGGCACUGAAACAAAUCAAUGCAAACACUAAAACUAAGGAAGCAACAUAGUAAGAUGACACUCUUUAUGAAAACAAAAAAAUGCUUGUAUUAAAAUCUAGAACUGUUAGGAAGUGCGAAUAAUUCAUUUAUAAUAACAAACCAACUACCAAGGCUAGGCAUAGGCCAUCUAUCUACCCACAACUCAUGCAGUCAGAAAAGAGGUUAUUAUUGAAAUAUCAAGGACCUAUUUACUUGUAGAAAACAGUUUUUCUUUUCAACCUUCGAAGAAUUAGAAGACUGUAGUUUUCAUUUUAUAAAGAAAACAAAGGAAAAGAUGGAAAGCAAGUUCAAUUGUGUAUGACAGAAAAUAGUUUUGUAUCUUAAAAAUUUUUUAAAAAUUAUUUGUAUCCAUUCGUAAUAGAAAGAGUCAUGAUAAAUAUAUUUUACAUCUAUUUUUUUAAAUGUGUCAAUUGUUUUAUCUUAUAAUAAUAUAGUUAGUUUUCAUUACUGUAAAUAAAUGUUUUUUCCAAACUUAAUGAUUAAAAGUUAUAGAAUAAUUUUAGUCAUUAGAGGAAAACAGUUGAAAAUAGAACUUUUGUUAUAAAGAAAAAUAACGAGGAAAAAACAUAAAGCUGAUUUCCAAAUCUUAGUUAAGUUUAGAAAAUUGAAAAACAAAAUUUUCAAUUCUCAGAUUGGAAAAUUGAUACAUAUGCACACAAAACUUUAUUUUCCAAUUUACUUAGAACAUUAUUCCCAAAAAUUACUCCAGUUUUCUACAAGUGAGAAAGUACAAAAAGUCCUGAGAUUUUUCAUGCCAAGGAAGAAAUGACAUACAAAAGGACAAACUAUACAUGAAUUUCUUUAAUCAAAAGCCCUAUUUUUACAUCCAAAAAACAGAAGACAACAUUAACCAUAGAGUUCGCUAAUACUAAAAAAACACCAUAAUAUGAUCAAAACUAAACAAGAAGCAAUUUAGGCAACAUCGAUUACUGAUAAUGAAAACAAUCAAUGCAUGACUUCAAAAAAAUCAACGAAUGCAUAUUAUGUAAGGCCAAAUAUAAAUUUAAAAAGCUUCAGCAAUAAUGAGAUUAAAACAAGAAUUAGAAACCUUUUCCUCUGUGGCGCGAGGCUCUCUUCCUUGGAAGAAAUCCCAAAGAACCAUGCCGGGGGUGUUCAAACUUGCGAUGAGACAUGCUUCAACUUCAGGGUACAACUGCAACACUCUAUGAAUUUCAAACUUAUUUUCCUUGAAAAAGGCAGAAAAUUCACAACAACAGAAAGCAACAAAUUUUCAAAUGAUAUUUGGUUAAUCUCAAAUGCUACUGCUUAUCAAUCUGUGUGUAUAAAACCAGAGAAACACUAUUCUCUCCAAGUGAAAAGGAUUAAAACAGGUAUUAUCCCAUAAAGGAGCUGAAAAUUGAGAUAUAGUUUCUGGAUAAAAUCAUAAUGACUAAAACACAGAUACAAAUUAAGAGAAACAUUCAAGUCAAUUAAAAAUAAUAAACAUUCUCAAAAAGAAGGGUAAGUUUUAAUAUUUAACAAUUACUUUAUUAAAAAAUACACAAUUGACAAUUUCAUUGAAAUACUGUGUAGUCAGACAAAAGUUUCUUGUAUUUGGAUAAGAUAAGGAAAAGUAAAAUCGUAAAUAAUCAAGAGAAACCAUCAGAUUAAUUAAACCUGAUUGGAAACCUCAAAACGGUUCAUUAUUCAACUUUAAAAAUCAAUUAAAAAAAUUUUUGAAAAAAAAGACUCAGCCAUCAAAAUGCUACAAAACCAAAAGGUCAUACAAUUUCAUCACUCAAUAAUCACGAAUUUCUUUUCUAGAAAAAAUGAAAUUAUAUCAACCCUUGACCUCUAAGCAUUUGAUAUCAACACCAAACCUUAAUAAGUGAAAUGAAAUGCUUCCCAACCAAAGGCCUAUGGCAUAAAAAUUAUGCCAAAUCUCAAAGCUCAGUGGUAUUCCAUUUCAAAUACCAAUUCAUGGUAUCGGCAAAAAGAGCCAUUUCCGAGACCCCAGCCUUGAUUAUUUCAGCAAUUCUCUUAUAAAGGGAAGUCAUUUCAAAAUCACCACCAGGCAAGAUUAUCAGGACAAGAGCAUUAAAAGAACCUUUAAAAAACCUCCAAAACAUCUAUUUACAAAAGAGUAAAACAAGCAGAACCCAACUCCUUCCAGAACCAAGUAGAGAUCUAAGCUAAUCAAAUAUUGAAUCAAAAAAAGCAAACCAAGUAGAGAUCUAAGCUAGAAGUUUAAUUAUCAUGUAUGUUUAUGAAUCAAUGACAGGAAUUGUAAGGUAUUACCUCCCGAUGAGGAGAUCACUGGACGUACUGUGUGCCGAUAAGAACCCUAGAGAGGUUUAGCUAGACAUUUAUAUCGUUCUCGAGAUGAGAUCCAACGGCUGUAAUUAGCAUCCAAUGGGUAUUAUCGUUGGAUGGUUAGGGUUAGCGUUUUGCAAGAAGAGCCGCCGAUCCAGCAGCUAUGGAAACUAGUAAAUGGGCUAAGAAUAGAGAAAGCCGACUACAUCCAGUCCAAUAUUCAAAGGUGGGCUGAGUUGUUUUUUGGUUAGUAACUUUUAAGUUUGGGUUCUGAGAAAAUUUUAAAAUGGUAUUUAGAAAUUGAAAACGUAAAUCAUAAAAUACUAUUUUUUUUAAUUUUGAGUAAAAAUUAUCUAUCAAAUAUUAAAAUAAUUAGUAACUAUUAAAACAUGUAAUAUUACUAGACAUUAUUUUGUAAAUAAUUUUUUUAUAAAUGUAAAUAAUGUUAUCAAAAUAAGAAAUUAAAUUUAUGGGAUAAAUUAUAGUUAAUCAAACUUUACCAUUUUUCUAAUUUUGUUAUAUAUAAUUAUGGUGCCCAAUAAAAAAUGUUAAAUUUCUAUUAAUUAGACAAAUAAAUCUAACCGUGGUUUUAUUUUUUUUUUUUUUUAAAUAAAGAUUCUCUCUCCAAAUUCCUUUCUUAAGUUUUAACUUAAAUUCAUUUGCUGCCUCCUGUGCGGGUGAGCAGUAUUCGGUUCAAAUCGAAAAAAUUGAUCGAACCGAACUGAUUUAAAAUUUUAGUUCGGUUUUUUAUAUAUUUUGGUUCAGUUUGGUUUUUAAUUUUAGAAAUUUCGGUUAUUUCAAUUCGGUUCGAUUUUAAUUAAAAAAAAAUCGAAAAAACCGAAUCAAACCGAUUAGUAAUAAUAAUAUAUUUUUUCAAUAAUAUAGAGAAAUUAAAUCAUAUUAAAAUUAAAAUAUUUUAAUUAAAUUUUAAAAUAUUAAAAAUAAAAUGUAAAAAAUAAAAAAAUUAUUAAAAAUCGAAACUGAUCAAACCGAACCGAAUCGAACCGAAUCAUACCGGUUUGGUUCGAUUCGAUUUCUAAUCAAAAUCGGUUCGGUUCGAUUUUCAUAAAUACUAAAAUUUCGGUUUCGGUUUAUUCGAUUCGGUUCGAUUUUGAACCGAACUGACCGAAUGCUCACCCCUACUCCUGUGGUUUAUCAUAUCUCUGCAUGUAAGAGGAUCCUUCUACCCUUCCUUUGCCUCUAAGGGUAAGAGAGACCUCUUUUCUUUUUUGAAUAUAGUUUCUAUUUUCUCCCAUCCGAUUGGAUUGUAGAUAAUCCUUUUAACUAUUUUUACUCGGUUGUAUUUAAGCAUUCGAAAGAGAUCAUAUAUUUUUUAUAUGCAUAUUUGAAUCUUUGUGGGUUUUUCUCCUCUUUGCUUGUCUCUUUCAUAAUGUUCUAUUUGUAUACUUUAUUUUUAAAGUAAACUCCUUUACUUUAGAGGACAUGCCCCUUCUUUAGCAUGAAUUAUAUUUUUUGUGUCUAAUUGUUAUUUUUUUUGCGAUUGUUGGUCUAAAGAUUCUAAAUUACUCUUUGAUGAUUAUCAUUCGAUAGAGGGGGCAAGAAACAAAAUAAUAGUUGUAUCUAGCACAUGCUCGUAAACAGUUUAGAAAGCAGGAAUGAGAUGACAAAUAAUGAUACCACCUUUAUUCAUUGCCAACACAUAAUAGAUGUAGAGUUUCUAUAUGGUUCGGUACUCAAUGGUUUUCUCUUUAUCUUUCUUCGAAUAUUUUUUAUUUCUUUACUUUUUUUUAUUUUUCACAUUUAAAUUUAUCAAUAUCAACAUCUCAAUAAAUAGCUAGCUUAGUAUAGUUAGGGUUAUAUAAUUUUUUUUCAGUAGGAUAGGCUUGCUUGUAAUGGGAUUGUGUUUUACAUGUAUGAAAGAAUAAAUAUCAAAUACUUAAAUUUUUAAAAAAUUUAUUAAUUUAUUUAUAUUUUAAAAUUAUUCAAUUAAAAUAUCUUUAUAUUUUACAUAAUCAAACUCUUGUAAUUUUUAUGUUACUUUACAAGAUUUAUUUUAAAUUUGAUCAGAAAAAUUAAAUAGUAUGAAUAUUUCAAAUUAUAAAAAUUAAAUAAUACAUAUAAUUAAAAUUAUAAAAACCAACCAAAACAAUUAUUCCAGGUAGGUUGCUAAUGUUUUUUUUUUUUAACAGAAAAAAAAAUUUAUAUUUUACAAAAUAUAAAAAUAAUUUAAUGGAGUGAUUUGAAAAUAAAAACAAACUAGUUUAUUUAAUAAAAUUUCAGGGAUUACAUAAUAAUUUAGCCUAGAUGUAUUUGGGAUGGGUUUGGACCAAGCAAUAUUGUUUUUUCUUUUUAGUCAUAGCCUAUCUGAGGGCCCUCAACUAGAAAAUGAAAUUGCAUUAAUAAAAUUAAUUUGGUUGGACUCAAUUAAAUUUGAUAUAUUGGCUUGGAUUAAUUAUAAAUUCAGUUUCAGUUAUGUUUCUCAAUAUUAACUUUAAUUUGAAACUUAAUUACAAUUAAUUAAAAAGUUAAACUAUUCUAUUGGCUCCUUUCUAGAUUACCUCAGCUUGAUACGGUCUUUUGCCCAGAAAUGCAAGAAAUCUAGAAUGUUUACUUCUAGAUGAUGUGCAAGUCCAUUAGUUCUUUUGGGUCGGAUCUAGAGAAUCCAAUCAGGAUUAAUGUUUUCUGGGUGGAAUUUACAUUUGAGUUGUCUUUUACUGGAACCAAAUCAUUGUACUUUUAGGCCAUAGUUAAUGAUAUUUCAAUCCAAAAUUUGAUACUAAAUUCACAUUGAUUUCACACAUCUCAAAAACCAUAAAGAUGACCUUGACAUAAUACUUAUUAAUAAAUUCGAUUAUUAUAUGGGCAAUCUAUUAACAGAAAAUGGACAUUAAACUGAAAAGCAUCGAACAGAAGUAAUACAAAUACCAUAUGCAUUGCAUUUUGUGCUCAAGCAGACACUUGAAAGCUAAUGAUCUGGAUUAGGAAUACUAUUACUUCAUACAUGCUUCCAUUCAGUCAUCAAGCAAACUGGCUUUGUUAAUGGUACCUCAAAUCAUCAAUGUCAUGCCCUUUGAGAGCAAAAUGGAGCACUGAAAUCAAUGGCAUUCAGAUAUAUAAAUAGCAGUAAAUAAUUUAAUAAGGAAAGCUCCAAACAGGUUCAGUAAUAAUUGAAGCAACAAAACUACAGUCACCAACAAAAACCAACAGAGUAAUCCAACUCAAAAAUUUCAAACACUAGGAGAAAAAGUUGUGAUGUUUAUUUAUCCUCUCCCAUGCUUAGCUAAACUCAAGCCUUAACCCGCCCAUAGAACUUUGCCUUCUCCUGUGUUGUCUGGAAUCUACCAUGGCCAAACUUGGAGGAUGUAUCAAUGAACUUGAGCUUAAUCUCCUCCAAAGCAACCCUAGAUGUCUGGUUCAACAAUGAUUGUCUCAAGGUCACAACUCUCUUCUUUGGUCCCACGCAGCAUCCUUUUAUCAUCAAAUAAUCUUCCUUCACCACACCAUAGUGGGGGAACCCUCCCAUUGGUGUGAUAUCCUUUUCAGUCCUGUUAUUUUUGAAACACAUUAGCCAAAAUUGACAUAGCAAAUUUACAAAAGCUACCAAAAUCUCUAUGAUUUGCCUGAUCAAGGUGCAUAGUAUUAAAAUAGGACUGUAAAGGGAACAAGCAUUAAGAUGGUGAACCUGUCAUAUUCAGUAACUGCAGUAUGAGACUCUUGGCCGCUCUUCCCAAGCUUAUAGAUUUUCUUGUUCAUUUCAGUACGGUGAUGGUAACCAUUCUGUCCAGCCCUAGCAACAGUAAAUGACACCCUAGCUGGAUGCCAAGCACCAAUACAUGCCACCUUCCUUAGACCACGAUGGGUCUUGCGGGGCAGACGGGUCACACCCCAACGAGUAACCACACCUUCAUAUCCCUUACCCUUGGUCACACCAAUAAUAUCUAUCAUCUCAUCCUUUUGGAAAACAGCAUCAAUAGGGAUCUGCUUCUCAAAGAAACUGUAGGCAAAGUCGACCUUCUUGGCAAUAUCCCCACCAUUCACCUGAAUCUCCAUUAGAUGGGCUUUCUUCUGCUUCAACCCUUUCAUCUUUCUUAUCUGCAGAGUCAAUAGUGCAGCAAAUGUGAAGAGUUAAGGAUUAAAGAAGAGCACAUACAAGUUGUACACGAAGGAACAGAACCAUGAAUCUAUUGAGGAUCAGAAAUCCAGCAGAGCCUUAAGGUGCUACUAAAUUAUUGACUGAUGAUAUCUCAUUAACAAAUACAGAAACGAAUGCACAAGGGAAAACUGAAAGUCAUUUACCUGGGUGUGCGCCAAGACCCGAAUGACGGAACAAUGCUUCUUCAGUUUCUCCAAUUGAGCUUGAAUAUCUUUCUUCCCAUCUUCAGAUUCAAACUUCUUAGAGUACUUGGUGAAUGCCUUCUUUUUGGACUUGCACCAGUUCUUGUAGAAUCUCCUCCUCACAUCCUCACUCAAAUGCUGGGCCCACACAGUGUUCAAUGAACGGAGACCACGGGGUGUUUUCAUAUAACCCACAACCCCAACCACCACCAUGGGUGGUGUCUCUACGAUAGUAACAGCUUCACAUGUUUCUUUCUUGUGGAGCUUUGACCCUGGCUUUUCCACUUCUCUGACAAUGUGGGUCAUCCCUGCUUUGUAACCCAGAAAUGCAGUCAAUCUGCAAGGCUUUGUUGGAUCAUCUUUGGGAAAUGCCUUCACUGUAAACAUCACAAAAGAAAAUAAAAGAUCAACCAACACUUAUCAAUUCAUGAAUUGCAAAAAUAAAGUCACUAUAAACAACACACAACAGAGUAAGAAAUCAAUAUCUCAGCUAAUAUUAACAAAUAUUGACACAAUUUAAUUCAAGGCACUUUUACAGGUCUAUGCAAAUAAUAAAACAAUGCAAGUACCAUAGUUGUAGAUAACAUUCUUU